ensembl:lncRNA
CAUACGGAGUCUGAAGAUGACCUUACAGAGGAGGUGUAUGAACAAGACAUGGAAGUUUCUGAUGUCAGUCUGGCACGAAGCAUGGAGCAGAAACGAAGUGGGUCUCCACAAGAAAAUGAAGGGGAGAGUAAUUCCGAUGGAGAUGACAUCCCUGUCCAAAAGAAAAAGUCCAAGACCAGUAAGGAAUCCUACUAUCCUAUACUAUAUAAUGAUGAAAACGCUGUUUGUGUGUAUAUUUGUCCAUCCAUCUGUCUACAUUUUUCUCUUGAGUAACACACCCAAUCCAUGUGAAACUGUACAUGGGGAUUGGCAUAGGCAGAGGAUGACAAGGCUACUUUUCUGAAACAUUUCACUAUAUUGGUAAAGUACAGUGCAGGACAAUACAGUAGUGUAUUAAAGGGCACAGUAUAGUAGCGUACACUAGCGUAAAGUACAAUAGCAUACAAUAAAGUAUAGUACACUAGUGUACAGUAGCAUAGCAGCAUACAGUACAUUAUAGAGCAGUUAGGUCUGUUUAUGUAGAAUCCUUUCCAAUUGGAUGAGACGUUCGAGAGGCAUUCUAUGACGCACUUUCAGUGAGGAUAUCAUGCACAUCCCACAUCCACUCCGAAUGUAGAACUCUUGACUGAUCACAAGCAAUCACUGUGCGAUAAGCUACAUGUGACUGUUAAUUUCAGCAACAUUUACUUGCACCUUCCAAUGUGCGUUACGCGGCAACCAUGAAUCCUGGGCGCUUUAUCCGGAACUAUAUUUGCUACGUAUUCAGACUGUAUUUGAACGAAAUGAACCUUUUUGAAAACUUUAUCUGGUGUUUAUUUAAUAAUUAGUUGUAAAAGGAAUUGCUGUAUAAAAGCAAUAUAGCGCUCGUUUUCGUGAGGAGGUCUGUGGAUAUCCCCAUGGCUGUGGUUUGGCCGCAGCCAUGGGCGACGGACAUCCUCACUCACUCGCGCUAUAUUGUCUAAGUAACAAUAAAGCAAUAAAACACGACUUUAAUGCUCUCUUGCCUAUGGCAGCACAGCAAUAGUUUAGCUGUUCAAUUUAUAUUAUGUAUUGAGUUUAGUUUUUGACUCUAAGAAAUGCAGUUCCUAAAACUCACAUUAGUGUGGAAUUUCAAAUAGUGAACAUGCGAAUGUAUGGUAGUUCAAGUAUUUGAGCCAGACUUAACAAUUACUGUGCAUUUAUGUCCUAAACUAACUUUUCAUUCAUUUCUUAUUUAGUUCGCAAGCCACAGAAGAAGAGGCCCUGGGAAACUGAGGAGACAAAUGCCGUUGAAAAGCACAUGAGGAACUUCAUUUUGACCUGCAAUGUUCCAAGAAAGGAAGACUGUGAUAAGUGCCUUAAAUCAGAGCCAGAAGCACUAAAAAAUAGAGACUGGAAGGCACUCAAAUUCUACAUCAAAAAUAGAAUUACUGCACUAAAAAGGAAAAUGUAAAACAUUUCAGUUUUCAUCAGGUACAAUAGAGAGAAAUGGGGGAGAGGGGGACAGGAGAUAGAGUGAGGGGGGGGGGGACCAUAGAGAGAAGGAAGGAGGGAGGGAGGGAGGGGGGGGACCAUAGAGAGAAGGGGAGAGGGAGGGAGAGAGAGAGGGGGAGAGAGAGAGGGGGAGAGAGGGAGAGAGGGGGCGAGGGAGGGAGAGAGACCAUAGGGAGAGGGAGGGACCAUAGGGAGGGAGAGAGUGAGGGGGGGACCAUAGGGAUAGAGGGGGAUAGAGAUUCCUUGUUCAGAAUCUUGUCGGGCGGUUCAUAGGCCUACUGUAUUUGAGUUGACACUCAAUAAAGAGCUUUUAAAGUAUGUUCAGGUGAUCUAAUUCUAAUUCAUGUGUAGAAACCUCAUCUAUCUAUAAAUGGCUGUCUGUCUGUGGCUCGUAUAUCUCUCUGACCAUAUGUCAGAUCGGCCUAAAAUUUCGGAUAUGGCUUGCGCAUGGGCCGAUGGUGUGCAUCCUCAAUUGAAAAAAAAAAAAUCAAAACCUUUUAUGAAAUGAUUUUACAUGCAAGCCCCAAAAGGUGCCAAAUAAACACAGAAGUAAUGCUACUACGCAACGAUUGCGUGCAGGUGUUGUGCUACACGGUGAAUACUUAACCGGCUGGCGAAAACGUCAACGCAUUCCCUUUCAAACAGGAGUUGUAGGCUUUGUGACAGGCUGGCACUGCACUUGACCAAACAGUUACGCUGCGUUCCAUUUGUCUCGUGAAGUCGUCGCCCGAGUUGUACUGACGCGAGAACAUGACGUCACUUCCUGGGUCGUACUAUUAUACAAAAGGUACUGAAUAGAGAAUCAAAUAUAUAUAGCAUAGCAUACAAACCUGUUCUAUAAUGCCUGCACCGUACAUGAUCCAAACUUACUAUCACCCAACUCUAAUUUUAUGACCGUAGGUAGGCCAUAUCACCUUCACGUUUAGACUAGGUCUGUGGCGCAGGUGUCAACUGUUGGUCAACCCACAGUCUGUUUGUGGUUGUUUGUCUGAGAUUAUUGCACCAGAUAGUGGUCCUGUCUAGGGAUGUCAGAACAGCUGUUCCCCAGAAGAAUGAUAUACCUGAGGAGUGUGUUAAGAUGUUCCUCAGAAGAAUAGCAAAUCCUGAGAUGUGUGUUUAGGGUCCCCAGAAGAAUAGCUAUACCUGAGAAGUUCCCACAUAGGAGGUCCUAGUCAGGUCUGAACCCAAGUUAUGAAUAUUGUUAAUUUGAAGUGAUAUUCAUGCUCCUCAAGUGCAUCUAAACAUGCCAGAUUUUUUUCAGAGGUGUAUGAUGUCUAGGAAGGGUGGCUCCCACAAUGUAGGUUCCUGUCAGGUUGUACCACAACGUGACAAAGACAAGCCUGUGUGUGUGUGUGUGUGUGUGUGUGUGUGUGUGUGUGUGUGUGUGUGUGUGUUUGGAGGAGGUUGUGGUAAAGAGUGCUAAAGAGAGUGGCGUGAACUUUAUUUUUACACUGCUCUUUAGAUUGAUUCACAAUUCAGCAUCAAGGUCAAUCUGUAGGUCAACUCUCUGACACAGGGAACCAUAUAUAGCUUGUAAAAAUCAUUCCCUGACCCAGGAAUCACUGAGUAGCAAUAAACACAUGCAAGC